ACAUAUGUGUACUACCAUGCAUACUACUGUAUAUAAGUAUUCAUAUGUACACUACUAUGUAUGCUACACAUAUGUAUAUGAAUUUAUACGUUCAUUUAUUAGAAAUACACACCUAUUGCAUUAAAAAUAUGUGCACCAUUUAUUUAUGAUUUACUAACAAUCAUAUGAGAAAUAUAUGUAACUUAUAUUGAUAGUUAAAUGUGUGAUACAUGCAUGUCUCUUAUAUUCACAAAUAUAUCUUUUUGAGGAUAGAUGCAGUUAGGUGUUCACAAAUGUUUUAAAGAAGUAGAAUUAUUUAGAGUGGUCAGUGAAUUGGACUCGGAAGUGACAGUGAAUCGUCAGAGUAGUGGUCAGAUACGAAAGUGGAUGCAGGGUUAAUGAGAUCUGUCCAGACGAUUUAUUCAUCAGUCGAAUGGUAUUGGCCCAUCCAAUCGAUGCAUCUCUUAAUCAAGAUUCCGACUGCAGACCGGUGGCUAUGAUGGCCUCAACUUAUUUGGCUAAUUGAAGAAAGACCAUGUGCGAAUGAAUCACACUCACUAUUAUUAAACUGUCAAGUUGCCCAGAACGUUAAUGGAGUUGUAAUUCAUACGGAAUGACAUGUGACUCAGAAACAGCGGAACGUGUCGCCACGCGACACACUGCACCCCUCACUGGGUGUCAUCAAUGGAUGCAGCAUCGGAACAGAAGAGGGUGAACAAGCCUGGUGGACCAACAAUCAAGGGACGCUCGUUGCUCUUACGCGGUCGUAAGGGACUGAAUUCAAUUGAAAGAAGUGGAACACGAUCUGGAUACGAGAUUAAUUCAAUAGCGGGGUCAUCAAGGCCUGGCCGUCUGGUGGAAUGCAGCUUUACGAGGGAUCUGGUUAGCCUCAGUCUACGGGAGACAGUGUAGCAUAGGAGGGUGAAAAGAAACAUGUCUGACAAGAGGUUACGCAGCAUAGAAUAAGAAGAUUGAAACUUUCUAUAAAGAUAAAAUUUAAGAAGAUUGAAAGUUGAGUAAUUUAGUGUAAAUAUAUGAGAUGACACCUGGAUAGCCACGAAUUAGGGAAGAUUCGAACCGACUGAGGGCUGCCCUUCGUCAUGGCAAACCUCCUUGGAAAUGGCGGUCGGCCCGUGGCGCCGCAAACUACUAGAAAAUUGAUAGUAACUUCGUGCUGAAUUACCAUAUACCUCGCAUAAUAUCUACCCCUAUGAUGUAUCCUUCAACAAAUAUUCAUUGACCUUCUUACAAUAAUAAAUUACAACUUAAACGUUCUUUAACGCUUUAAAACGUUGUAUCACGUUCAUAAAUUAUACCAAGAACAAUACCUGAUAGAAUGAAAUAGUACCAAAACACGAAAUAAAUAAAAUUAACGUUCGAGCUGUUAUGGUGAUGUAAUAUUCAACGAUUAGUGUAUAUAUUUAGAGGAGUUUCGUUCAUACGGAUAGUAGAUUAUGGUCGAAGCGUGUGUCGUUCGAAGUCGUAAUAAAUUUAAUCUUAGCAGAGCUGUUCCAAGUACAAUGUGGCACCGGCAUCGUUUCACGGGGCAUUAACCUCUGUCUCUGAUUGGCGAUCAUGAUUAUUAUUACAGAAGAUCAGGAUCAGGAAGGUACGUCCUGAUAGUGUGUCCCGUUUGUCGACGCCAGUGUCACGUUUGAGAUGAACAUAACCUUGCUUCUGAUCUUUAUAGACGUUUACGACAACAAUCUUUAUCUUUGUAAUGAAACUUUUUUAUUUUGAUUUGAUGGUUGUGAAAUUUGA
rnacentral:lncRNA from 1 species